GAAUACAGAGUUAUGCCCUUUGGAUUACAAAAUGGCUCCCACUGUUUUCAAGCCUUCAUGCAUCACGUAUUGGCGGGUCUCCUCUACAAGAAAUGCGUCUGCUUCCUGGACGACAUCCUGAUAUUUUCAGAAUCAGAGGAGACCCACGAGGGAGACGUCAAGGAAGUUCUGCAGAGACUGCAGGAGCACAGGCUGUACGCCAAGCUGGAGAAGUGCCAGUUCGACAUGAAGGAGGUAGAUUUCCUGGGCUACAAGUUGUCGGACAAGGGGCUCGCCAUGGACAGCGCCAAGGUUCGCUCAGUGUUGGACUGGAAGAGCCCGCGCAAUCGGAAGGAGGUCCAGCGGUUUGUCGGUUUCGCCAACUUUUACCGCAAGUUCAUCAAGGGGUUCGCGAUGCAGACGGCGGCCAUUACCGACACGCUCAGCUCCAAGAAGAAGAAGUUCAUCUGGACGGAGCAAGCGGAGCAGUCCUUUCAGAAACUCAAGCGUCUCUUCUCGUCCGAAGAGCAGCUACUGCAUGUGAAUCCCAGCAGACCGAUGAGGGUUGAAACGGACGCCUCAGACAGAGCCGUGGGAGCAGUACUGUUGCAGCAAGACCCGCAUGGGGACUGGAGACCGUGUGCCUUCUACUCCAGGAAGCUCAGCAAGUCAGAGCAGAACUACACCAUCUGGGACAGGGAGUUGCUGGCCAUUCAUGCAGCAUUCAAGGCGUGGCGGCACUUCCUCAUUGGAGCCAAACACACAGUGCAGGUCCGCACGGACCAUAAAAACCUGGAGUACUGGCGCACGGCAAGGUUCCUGAACCAGAGGCACAUACGAUGGGCGGAGUUCUUUGCGGAUUUCGACUUCAGGAUAGAGUACAUCCCAGGCGACAACAACAUCAUGGCGGAUGCACUGUCCAGAAAGCCGCAAUACCUCGAGGAGGCGGCACCAGCAGCGGCCAAGCACAUUUUCGCACCGAAAGCGUGGGCGUGCGCUUCAGCAACCGUGGACCUGGAUGCUGUACGUCGAGCACUGCAGGAGGACCCCUUCGCGCAAGCAAAGAUGGCAGAGGUGCAAAGGGGCACGGCGGAGGACGACGAGUUCCAGAUACGCGACGGAUUGCUCAUCCGCAGAGGGGCCCUCUACGUACCGGGAGACGACCUCCGCGCGAAAGUACUGCAGCAGUUGCACGACGCACCCACCGCCGGGCACUUUGGCAAAGAGAAGACGGUAGAAUUAGUAGCCAGAGAUUUUUGGUGGCCCAAGAUGCGGGGGAAGUCGCGGAUUACGUCUCGAGGUGCGACACCUGCCAAAGGGCCAAGUCAGUGCACAAACCGCCGGCGGGACUGCUCGAACCGCUGCAGACACCGCUCGAACCGUGGGAGAGGGUGGCCCUGGACUUUGUCACGGAUCUACCCAGCUCGAGGGGCAAGACGGCAGUGCUAGUGGUGGUGGACAUGUUCACCAAAAUGGCCCACUUCAUUCCGUGCGCGAAGGUGGCCACGGCGGAACAGACCGCCAAACUGUUCAUAGACCACGUGUUCAGGGUUCACGGUCUGCCACGGUCUAUCCUGUCCGACCGGGGCGACAGUUCAUCUCGAACUUCUGGCAGAAGCUGAUGGGUUUCCUGAACGUCAAGAUCAACCUAGCGUCGGCGAGACACCCGCAGACGAACGGACAAGCGGAGCGAGUCAACGCCAUCAUGCAGCAGUACCUGCGAUGCUACGCAAAUCAGCAGCCGGCAACAUGGGUGGACUACCUGCCGCUCGCUGAGUUCGCCUACAACAACACGAAGCACGUGUCCACGGGGGUGACACCGUUCUUCGCCAACAACGGGAGGCACCCCAGAACCUUCCCGGGACUGGAAAGAAUGGGGGAGGGGGAGCCGCAGACAGCAGAUGCAUUCGCGUCGGAGUUGCAGGAGGUCCACGAUCAGCUGCGGCGGCACCUGGAGCUGGCUAAACACGCAUACAAGGUACAAGCGGACAAACACAGAAGGGUUGGCGAAGAGAUCCAUGUGGGAGACUGGGUCUGGUUAGCAGCCCACGCAGUGCCGGCCAGGUCGUUGGCGAAGAAGAAACUAGGGCAUAAACAACUGGGGCCCUACCAAGUCGAAGAACAGGUCAACCCGGUGGCUUUCAGGCUGGCUCUUCCGGAGGGUUCCAGAAUGCAUCCGGUGUUCCACAGAUCGGUGCUCACUCCAUACAAGGCACCUCACAGGUUUCAGGAACCAGGAACGGCACCGGGUCCGCUCCGAGAGAGAACCGGGCAAGGGGGAGUGGCACGGGAGGAGCGCAUCAACGAAGCCACGGAGAUUUUGGACUCCAGAUGGGGGGAAGAGGGGGUAGAAUACCUUCUCGCCAAGGAGGGCACCCCGGCCAGUGCCAACAGCUGGGUGCCGGGCUACGCUUUCGACGAACCUCUGCUCAAAGAAGAGUUUCAUGCCCUCUUCCCACAUAGGCCAAUGCCAGCAGACUUUUUCGACGACUGGCUUUUCACGCCCACGCUUUCAGCCAGCACGUCCGGGGGUUCGACUCGGACGAGGAACCGACACGAGACGCCCGUUCCCCGGAGGGGUCACCCUCGGGAUCUGCUUCAGAACCCUCGUAUUGGUGGGAUGAUCGACCAGAGGAGCAGUUCCGCAGAAGGUGGCUGGAGGGUCCAGGACGAGCAACGUCUCCAGAAGGUAACGAGGGAGAGACGGACAUGGACGUUUCGGGACGACCCGGGUUUCGAGCACGGCGGCACAGAGAUGGAAGCGGAGGUGACCGUCGUCAACGAGAGCAGGGAGGAAGAACCGGAAGACUUCAGAUGGCGGCCCGCCACGGGGAGCGAACUGUAUCCGACAUUCGUCCCCCUGACACGGCAGCACCCAGAUCCCGCACCGGAAGGAGGGGAGGGGGGAGAGGGGGCUUCGAGGGGGGGAUGGAUGUCAGGGGUUCAGGAGCAGAGGCAAGGGCAAGGGAGGAAACAGAGAGCGAGGGGGGAGGAGGCAGAAGAAAAGAUGAGUGAUGACGACGACCCGAGAUCUCCGAGUCUUUCCAGUGAAUCAGAAGAUUCACAGAAAGGAGCACCAGUGGCCAGGGCAAGGGGGAGCCUAGGGGACGCCCCAGGAAGAUAGAGCCAGAGGGGACUCAGAGGGGAGCAGUUGGAAAUCGGGACCAGCGUCACCGCCAGAGAGCAGGGAAGAGGAAGGGAGCCAGGGAUCAAGCGCUGGCAGCUCACAACAGGGGGGAGGGCACGAGUCAGGAGUGGCCACACCUCCAUCGGGGAGCGAAGAAACGGUCAGACGGAAGGUGGAAGGUUGGGCGCGCGCGCCAAGUUCAAAUGCACAGGAAGGUGGCACAGUAGGCAGCCCGGAAAGGGAGCCAGGUCCUAAAGCCCGCCGAAAGGAGGGAGAAGAGUCAGGGGGGGGAACGUCAGCGUCAGAAGAAUCCCGGAAAGAAGAGACCCCAGGGGGCAGAGGGACCCAGAGAAGAACAGUCAGGCGGAAAAGGUGGAGCAGGGCUAGGAUAUUAAGUUGGUGUACAAGGGGCGGAGACUCAGACGGAGCUUCGCCGAUCUAACCCCUAGACGUAGAGCUGUGGCGCUGCGGCUUGAAAAUGGAAACUGUACUUCAAUAAAGACUUUUGUACAUUACUGCCGGCUAGCGUUGGUCCUCUGUGAGCUGGGACCUGGAGCCAGCUCUGACA